rnacentral:lncRNA from 1 species
ACGGGUACAGUGAGGCGAAACUCACCUCGAUAUGCGUGUAGGAAACCACCAUUGCAACGAAGAACUCUACCAACUUCAACUCACAUUUCUCCUAUAGGAAGAUACUAGAGUCAAUAUGUGAUCACAGGUCAUAGUUACUUGCAACAGUGACUAUUUCAAAUGAAAUGGCGAUUAGGGUUCCACAUAAAAUGGCGAUUAGGGUUAAGUAUGGACAUUUAACCCAUUAAGGACUUAAUCACCUAAGGGUAGGACUGAUUAAGGUUUGGCCUAGUCAUUCUCAGGUAUAAUAAUAAUCCAAGCAAUAUCCGAAAUUCACGCCCCGAUCAUUGUCCAAAAUAGGGCUUCCCGAUUCUAGGGUUUGAGCCAUAAGAACAUUCCUAUGUGCACAUGGAAACCCUAAUGCUUGGAUCUAGGUUUCUCUAAUGAAGAUGCUUUUCAUCCAAAACUUGCAAACCCUAAAUCUAUGAUAUACAACUCGAAAUUGACAAGACAAAGUAGAUCUAGAUGAUUACCUCUUCUUGAAAGCUUGAAUCUUGUUAUCCUUGGAGCUUAAAGUCACAAGUGUCACUCCUCUAAUGGCUUACAAACACCAAGAAGCAAGAGGAUGAUUUGGAGAGAGGUUGUAGGCACAAAAUCGGCUCUAGGAACUCCUUAUGGUUUCUGGUAACCAGUUUUUGUAGCCCCUGGGUCCUUUAAAUACUUGAGCUGCUAGGGUUACAACCUAAAACCCUAAUUAGAUUACUUAGGCCUUAAGCAGUCCAAGGAUCCUUCUAGAUUAGGGCAUGGACAAAUUCAAGGAGUCCAUACACCUUAAUUUCGUCCACCCCAUGAUCCAUAAGGAUCCACAACCCAAAACCAACUAUCACACAAUUGAUAGUUCUAGUCUCCUUUAUUUAAUUAAUCUCUUUUAGCCACAUAAUUGAUUCUUAAUUAAUUAUUGUCUAAUAUUAAUUAAACUAUAUGAUUUCUCCUUUAAUGUAUUAAUCAUAUAAUAUAUUAAUAAACCAUAAUAACCUCUUUAUUUAUAAAUCAUCCUAUCAUGUUGCUCUGGUGAAGGCAACCCAAAAGGACCAUGCAUAAUCGGGUCAAGUACUUACCAAAUAUAGUUACGGGCUUAGACACUAAUCCAACAGUCUCCCACUUGGAUAAGUCUAUUAACUAUAAAUAUAAGCAUAAUCCGAUUAGCAAUCGUAGCUCUCAAAGACGCUGCCAAACUCUGAUCUUAUUAGUAACCUGUCCUUUAGAUAAGGGAUCGUAUAGCCCUCUAUUCUAGAUAUCGUACGGACAAUCACAAGGAACAUAGUCAUACUUAUUGUCCAACAGUUUGUUUCUCGAUCUCAAAUUCAUUUGACAUAGAACUUAAUUGAACACAUCAAUUCAGUCAUGACCGGGCCCGAUACAUAAGUCAAAUCAAAUCAUCGAGGGGCCCUGAUAUCGCUUUUACCCUCUUAGGAUAAAAGGAACAGAUAAACUUCGACUUAUAUGUAUUUACUAUUCACUAAUCAAAUCAUACACAACAAUGCGUUUUAUGACAUCAAGUUAAUGAUGCGUUUUCGCAUUAUCAAUGCACAACCAAUCAGCAAACAAUAAACCAUAUAUCUAGGUUUUAAGACCAUAUGAUAUUAUCUUCGUGCGAUCAGUCAUGAUGAAUUCCAUGAAGUGAUUCCAGCAAGCGUGGGUUUAUUCCAAUGCUCAAAACUUGUUCAUAAGCACUCAUGAACGUUUAAUACCUUUUAGACAAUCUACACACCUAUUCAUGACAGUCUUCAUUCAUACCUACUUCCAACAUAUGAACGACUGUGGACCGUUGGAAUAAUUCGAUUAUUCUCAAAUAACUCAAUUAUUCAGGAAGUAUAAACAUGCAAAGUGAAACAAUAGUUAAACAAUUAACAUAAUACAUUAACUUUACUUAUAAAUAAUAAUCAUUUAUUUAAUCAUCAAAUGUUAAUUACAUUUAUCUAUUACAUGUUUCUAAACUAUAUAAUCUAAAUUAAUAUCGUCCUUCAGCCCAAUUCUCCAAGCGUGCAGCAAGUGCUUAACCCUACUCAGUCCCUUUGUAAGCGGAUUGUUGGGUUAUCCUCUGACGAUACCCUAUUCACUACGAGGAGUCCUUCUACCCGAUGCCGAAUAAAGUGAUAUUUUCUGUCGAUAUGUCGAGAUCUACCAUGAUUCCUCGGUUCCUUGGUCAAGGCAAUCACUCCUUCAUUAUCACAGAAAAUUUCCAUGGGCUCCUUUAUGGCAGGCACAACUCCAAGGUCUCCAAUAAAGUUCUUCAACCAUAUCGCCUCCUUUGACGCUUCACUCGCUGCAAUGUACUCUGAUUCGCACGUUGAAUCAACUAUGGUUUCUUGCUUGGAACUUUUCCAAGUCACUGCUCCUCCAUUAAGGGUAAAGACCCAUACCGACUGCGAACGGUAGUUGUCCCUGUCGGUCUAAAAACUGGCGUCACUAUACCCUCGCACUUUUAAGUCAUCACUCCCAUCGAGGACUAGAAACCAUUCCUUGGUCCUCCGAAGGUACUUAAGAAUAUUCUUGACUGCGGUCCAAUGUGCUUUGCCAGUGUUCCCUUGAUAUCUGUUGACCAUACUUAAAGCGAAAGCCACAUCAGGGCGAGUAAAAGUCAUAACAUACAUGAUCGAGCCAACUGCGGAAGCGUAAGGUACUUGGCUCAUCUCUGCUAUCUCGGCUUCGGUACUUGGACUUUGAGUCUUACUCAACUUGGCAUUACUUUGGAUCGGUAACUCUCCCUUCUUUGAGUUUUCCAUACCAAAACGUUUUAGUACCUUGUCCAAGUAAGUAUUUUGACUAAGUCCUAUUAGUCUCUUACUUCUGUCUCUCACUAUCCUUAUUCCCAAAAUAUAGGAAGCAUCUCCGAGGUCCUUCAUAGCGAAGCACUUCCCGAGCCAGGACUUAACCUCCUGCAGUGUCGGGAUGUCGUUUCCUAGGAGAAGUAUGUCAUCGAUAUACAAUACGAGGAAGCUCACUAUACUCCCACUGGCUUUGACAUAUACAAAUGAUUCAUCUUCGCUUCGUAGAAACCCAAACUCUUUAACUUUCUCAUUGAAACAAAGAUUCCAUCUGCGAGACGCUUGCUUAAGUCCAUAGAUGGACUUCUCAAGCUUACACGCUCUAUUGGGAUGCUUCGCAUUGACAAAACCCUCUGGCUGAGCCACGUAAACAUCCUCAACCAACUUCCCAUUAAGGAAAGUGAUUUUGACAUCCAUUUUCCAUAUUUCAUAAUCAUGAAAUGCAGUAAUGGCCAGCAUCACCCUAAUAGAUUUUAUCUUGGAAACCGGUGAGAAGGUUUCAUCGUAGUCAAAUCCGGGAGUUUUGAGUAAAACCCUUCGCGACCAAUCGCGCCUUAUAUGUGUGCACAUUCCCAUGUAUGUCGGUCUUCUUCUUGAAGAUCUAUUUGCACCCGACCAUCUUACGUUCGGGCACAUGGUCAACCAAAUUCCAAACUUGGUUGUCGUACAUGGAUUGAAUCUCGCUGUCCAUCGCCUCUUUCCAUUUUGCAGACUCUGGGCCUGCCAUGGCUUCCUUAUAGUUGUUAGGUUCGUCCAAAUUUAUUUGUGUACUAUCACUAAUAUAUGUGUACCCUUCUAUAGUAAUAUGGAAACCAUAUAACUAGGGUUGAACUCUAACUCUUUCAGAAUGUCUAAGAGGUAAAGACUCGUCAAUCGGUUUAACCGGAGUUUCCUCCUCGGGUUGAGCGUCAGCGUUAGAGGUUCCUUCAUCUCCCGACUCUUGAAUUUCUUCAAGAUCGAUUUGCCUCCCAUUGUGUCAUUGGCUUAUGAGUUCUCUCUCUUGGAAAACCCCUCUCCUCGCAACGAAGACAACAUUGUCACUCGAUCUAUAGAAGAGAUAUCCAAAGGAUUUCUGUGGGUAGCCGAUGAAAAUACACCGCUCACUAUGAGGUUCGAGCUUUUCGUAAGUUUCUCGUCUUACGAAAGCCUCGCAACCCAAACCUUGAUAUGUGCCAACGAGGGAGCCUUCCCUGUCCACAUCUCAUGAGAUGUUUUGGCAACCUUCUUCGUAGGGACUAAGUUAAGGAUAUGGGCGACAGUCUCUAAGGCAUACCCCUAGAAUGAGAUAGGUAGUGAAGCACGACUCAUCAUGGAACGAACCAUGUCCAACAAGGUUCGAUUAUGCCUCUCAGCCACACCGUUCAACUAUGGUGUCCUAGGUGGCGUCAAUUGCGAAACUAUUCUGCAUUCCUUGGGAUAGUCGUGGAAUUCAAGACUUAGGUACUCUCCUCCUCGAUUGGAUCGAAGCAUCUUGAUUUUCCUGCCCAAUUGAUUCUCCACUUCUUGUUUAAACUAUUUGAACUUAUCAAAGGUUUCUGACUUGUGCUUGAUUAAGUAGAUAUACCCAUAUCUGCUAUAGUCUUCGGUGAAAGUCACAUAGAAGCAGUUCACAUCCCUUGUGGUGGAUCUAACGGGCCCACAUACAUCGGUGUGUAUGAGAUCCAAUAGACCCUUUUCAUAAGAGCCAGUGAAGGGUGACUUGGUCAUCUUUCCAAGUAAACAAGACUCGCACACAUCAUCGUACCUAAGGUUGAAUAACUCCAACACUCCAUCCUUUUGGAGUUGGCCUAUGCGUUUCUUGUUAACAUGUCCAAGACGACAAUGCCACAAGCAUGCUUUAUCCAUACUAUUGGAAGAAUCCAUACACAACACAUCAUUUCCUAAGUUAUCUACAACCAUCACAGUUUCAUAAAUUCCAUUACAAGGUAAUGCCUCGAAAUAUAAAACACCAUUUAGAUAAGCAUAAAUAGAACCUUUCUCAUUAUCAAAUGAAUAUCUAAAUCCUUGUCUAAACAAACCAUGAAAUGAAAUGAUGUUUCUUGCCAUAUCUGGCGAAUAACAACAAUUAUUUAAAUCUAAUCCUAAUCCAUUACUAAGCGUUAGAGAAUACACUCCAAUCUUGGUAACAGGCAAUGAUCUUCUGUUCCCCAUGAUUAGAUUUAUCCUUCCACGCUCCACAUCCCUAUCUCUUCUUAGUCCCUGCAAAUCAGAACAUAUGUGAAAACCACAUCCUGUAUCAAGAAUCCAAGAAAUAGCAUGUGAUGAAUCAUUAGAUUUAAUUGUGUAAAUACCUACGAAAGAUGGCUUGAUCUUCCCAUCCUUGAUGGCUUGCAGAUAUUCCGGGUAGCUUCUCUUCCAAUGCCCUAUCUUGUAGCAGUGGUGGCACUCUGCCUCCUUCAAGUUAGAGUUGGGCUUAGCAGAACUAACUUUGGUUCCACUAGAAGAGGUACCAUCUUGGGAUUUUCCCUUGUGAUGGCUCUUUGAAGGAUCCUUCCUCUUCUCACCCCUCCCUUGCCCAAUGGCCAAAACAGGAGCAACGGUUGGAGUGGGAGUUGAUGCAACAAACUUAUCCUUGAGAUUGCUAUCAGUAGUCCUAAGAAAUCCUUGAAGCUUGCUCAAGUGAACUCUUCCUUAUUCAUGUGGUAGGUCAUGCGGAACUGGUUAUAGCAACGAGGCAAGGAGUGAAGGAUAAUGUCAAUUGCCAGUUCUUCAUCGAACUUGACAUUCAACUUCAGCAGGUGAUCAACAUAUCUCUGCAUCUUUUGCAGAUAAGCGGUAAGGGACUCUCUAUUACCCGUUUUGGCAGUGAUCAUCGGAGUGAUGAUCUUAUACCUUUCUUGCCUCGCACAUUGGUGGUACCGGUCCACCAAGUCUUGAUGCAUCUCGUAGGGAUAGUAGUCCUCAUAGGACUUUUGUAGUUUAGCAGUCGUGGUCGCCAUCAUGAUGCAAUGGACUUUCGUGACAUCACGCUCAUGGGCCUCAAAGGCAACGAUUUCUUCGGGAGUAGCAGUGUUGAUGUUCACCUCCUUCAGCUCCUUAUCGAGGACAUACUAUUUGUCCUUGUAACGAGUGACCGUUCGGAUGUUACGGAUCCAAUCAUUGAAAUUGGACCCGUCAAAGAACACUCUCCCACACAAGUUCAUGAGCGAGAACGAGCCAGAUGAGGUUGAGCCUGAAGCGUUGUUGUUGUUUGAGUUCGACAUCUGAAGAAGAAAAGAACAAAGUUUGAUUAUAAAUGAAUCCCUAAUUAAACACCCAAAAUGAGAAAUUAGGGCUAGGAUCCAACAACAUUAUUUACAUAUUAGAAAAGGGAUGCUGUAAUCAAACAUGAAAAUAAUUUGAAGGUAAGUGAAUGACGAUUCACUAAUUCUCCACCAUGAAAAACAAAAGGAGAUUAAGUUUUAAAGGUAUUGAAAAUUCCUAGAUUCCUUUGAGAUUCAUUAAACUUUUCAAUGACAUGUUUCAAUCUCGAUAUGCUCUUCAAGUUUGUGACUGGGAUGCCGAGGAUCACAAAGCGGGUGUCAAUAACCAUGCAAAUGUACAUGGUGCCCUCAUUGUUACAGUCACUUAUCCGAUGUGCCGGUUAACCACACACGCUCCAUCGAACUAUGACAAAUAAUGAGUCACCCUUUUCCACCUUUGCUUAGAACCAAUUAGUGUGCCGGUUAACCACACACGCUCCACUAACUUCUUAGCAAGGGUGCAAAGUGUAAUUUCAUGGGAUUGCAUCAAUUCACUUUUCCUAAAGUAACUAAGAUUGAGAAUUUUGUAAAAACGUUUAGUUACUUUAUAUAGAUUCAUUAUACUUAUUAAUGAGAAAAGGGUUGUCUUAUCCUACCCGUUCGGCUACGACCCUCCACCAAUCAAGGAAGCGGUGGGUGAGAGUGGACAUCCAUUAAAUGACCAUUUUAUAGGCCAUAACCUUAUACCCCCCUUAUAGAUCGGUUUCGUGAAUGAGGCCUACUAACGGUAAGACUAGCAUUUAAGUUAUAUAUAUAUAUAUAUAUANNNNNNNNNNNNNNNNNNNNNNNNNNNNNNNNNNNNNNNNNNNNNNNNNNNNNNNNNNNNNNNNNNNNNNNNNGCCCGCCGCUUUGCGCGGGUAAACGACUAGUGUGUGUGUGUGUGUGUGUGUGUGUAUAUAUAUAUAUAUAUAUAUAUUAAUCUUAUAAUAUUAUAAAGUAUAAGGUUGAAUUUUAAACUUGUAAAAUUCUAGGGUUUGAAAUUUAAAUAGUUCAAAUUAAACAUUUUAAUCAUAAAAUUUAAAUUUCAAAACUUGAGGACAAGUUUUGAACUUUUUCAAAACACAAAGAUCAAAUAGCAAAUAAUUUUCAAUUAAACAUUUAAUUUAAUAAUUAUCUAAAUUUGACAUAUUCAAUAUUACUUGCAAGAUAAUUCAACAAUUAAUUUAAAUAAUCAAGUAUUAUCAAAUAAGGAAAUUAUUAUUUAAACAAUUGGUAAUCAUAUAUUGUUUUGAUGAGGAUAUUGAUAAAAAGGUAAUAAAAUUCGGAUUUUAUUAGACUAAAACAAUUUAGGUAAUUAUCCUUAAGCAAAAUAGCAAGAAAUCUCGAUAUUCAAUAUUACUUGCAAGAUAAUUCAACAAUUAAUUUAAAUAAUCAAGUAUUAUCAAAUAAGGAAAUUAUUAUUUAAACAAUUGGUAAUCAUAUAUUGUUUUGAUGAGGAUAUUGAUAAAAAGGUAAUAAAAUUCGGAUUUUAUUAGACUAAAACAAUUUAGGUAAUUAUCCUUAAGCAAAAUAGCAAGAAAUCUCGAAAUUCCCUCUGUCUGACUCUCUUACUCGCCGAGUCCCCUUAUGGACUCGUCGAGUUCAUCCUACUUGUCGAGUCCACAAUGGGACUCGCUGAGUUCAUCAUGUAGAGAGCAAGAAAACAAUUUUCUAAGCAAGAAUUAAAACACAAAGCAUCAAAUUCAAGAGAAGCCAGUCAAGGCUCUGAUACCACUGAUGGGUUUGAGCCAUAAGAACAUUCCUAUGUGCACAUGCAAACCCUAAUGCUUGGAUCUAGGUUUCUCUAAUGAACAUGCUUUUCAUCCAAGACUUGCAAACCCUAGAUCUAUGAUAUACAAUUCGANGUAGAUCUAGUGAUUACCUCUUAUUGAAAGCUUGAAUCUUGUUAUCCUUGGAGCUUAGAGUCACAAGUGUCACUCCUCU